UUUUUUUUUUUUUUUUUUUUUUUUUUUUUAGUGUUUGAAAGGUACAAGAACUACAGCCCUUAUGACAUGCUGGAGAGCAUCAAGAAGGAGGUCAAAGGAGACUUGGAAAAUGCCUUCCUGAACCUGGUCCAGUGCAUUCAGAACAAGCCUCUGUACUUUGCUGACCGGC